rnacentral:rRNA from 1 species
AACGAACGCUGGCGGCAUGCCUAACACAUGCAAGUCGAACGGGAUCCUGGUUUCGGCCAGGUGAGAGUGGCGGACGGGUGAGUAACGCGUGGGAACCUGCCCAGUGGUGGGGGAUAACUGCGGGAAACUGCAGCUAAUACCGCAUGAGCCCGAAAGGGGAAAGAUUGAUCGCCAUUGGAGGGGCCCGCGUUCGAUUAGGUAGUUGGUGAGGUAACGGCUCACCAAGCCUCCGAUCGANAGCUGGUCUGAGAGGAUGAUCAGCCACACUGGGACUGAGAUACGGCCCAGACUCCUACGGGAGGCAGCAGUGGGGAAUAUUGGACAAUGGGGGCAACCCUGAUCCAGCAAUGCCGCGUGAGUGAUGAAGGCCUUCGGUUGUAAG